rnacentral:rRNA from 1 species
AGUUUGAUUCUGGCUCAGAUUGAACGCUGGCGGGAUGCUUCUGCAUGCAAGUCGAACAGCAACACGGACUUCGGUCUGGUGGCGAGUGGCGAGCAGGUGAGUAAUGUAUCAGACAUGCCCUGAAGUAGCGGGGAUGCUACGCCAGUGAUAUGCAUACGCCCUUCGGGGAAAGCGGGGGACCUUCGGGCCUCACUAUUAGAGCAGCCGAUAUCGGAUUAGCUGGAUUGGUGAGGUAACGGCUCACCAAGGCGACGAUCCGUAGCUGGUUUGAGAGGACGACCAGCCACACUGGGACUGAGACGGCCCAGACUCCUACGGGAGGCAGCAGUGGGGAAUUUUGAAUAAUGGGGAAACCCUGAUCCAGCCAUCCCGCGUGUGCGAUAGAAGGCCUUCGGGUUGUAAGCUUUUUGGCAGGAAAACGGCACGGGAUAAUACCCCGUGCAACUGACGGCUACCUGCAGAAUAAGCACCGGCUAACUACGUGCCAGCAGCCGCGGUAAUACGUAGGGUGCAAGCGUUAAUCGGAAUUACUGGGCGUAAAGCGUGCGCAGGCGGUUCGGAAAGAAGGUCUUGAAAUCCCAGAGCUUAACUGGAACUGCAUUUUUUUAACUACCCGAGCUAGAGUGUGUCAGAGGAGGUGAUUGUAGCAGUGAAACGCAUGAAUAUGCGGAGGAACGCACACCGAUGGCGAAGGCAGCCUCCUGGGAUAACACUGACGCUCAUGCACGAAAGCGUGGGAGCAAACAGGAUUAGAUACCCUGGUAGUCCACGCCCUAAACGAUGUCAACUAGCUGUUGGGGCCUUCGGGCCUUGGUAGCGCAGCUAACGCGUGAAGUUGACCGCACAGGAGAUACGGUCAUAAAAGUUAAACUCAAAGGAAUUGACGGGGACCCGCACGGGCGGUGGAUGAUGUGGAUUAAUUGAUGCAACGCGAAAACCUUACCUACCCUUGACAUGUCUGGAAUCCCGAAAGGAUUUGCGGUGCUCGCAAAGAGAACCGGAACACAGGUGCUGCAUGGCUGUCGUCAGCUCGUGUCGUGAGAUGCGGGUUAAGUCCGCAACGAGCGCAACCCUUGUGUGGUUGCUACGAGGGCGCUCUAAUGAGACUGCCGGUGACAAACCGGAGGAAGGUGGGGAUGACGUCAAGUCCUCAUGGCCCUUAUGGGUGGGACCACACGUCAUACAAUGGUCAGGACAGAGAGAGAUUCGCCAACCCGCGAGAGGCCAAUCGAAACCCGAUCGUGAUCCGGAUCGCAGUCUACCUUCGACUGCGCGUGAAGUCGAAUCGCUGGUAAUCGCGGAUCAGCAUGUCGCGGUGAAUACGUUCAGUCUUGUACUACACCGCCCGUCACACCAUGGGAGUGGGUUUUACCAGAAAUGAUUAGCCUAACCGUAAGGAGGGCGAUUACCACAGUAGGAUUCAUGACUGGGGUGAAGUCGUAACAAGGUAACUGAAUCGCUAUGUUCGGC